rnacentral:misc_RNA from 1 species
GAUGAAGAACGUAGUGAAAUGCGAUAAGUAAUGCGAAUUGCAGAAUUCAGUGAGUCAUCGAAUCUUUGAACGCACAUUGCGCCCUGUGGUAUUCCGCAGGGCAUGCCUGUUCGAGCGUCAUUUCAACCCUCAAGCUCUGCUUGGUGUUGGGCCCUGCCCGCUGCGGCCGGCCCUAAAGACAGUGGCGGUGCCGCCUGGCCCUGAGCGUAGUACAUCUCUCGCUCCAGUGCCCGGUGGUAGCCUGCCAGAACCCCAACUCUCGUGGUUGACCUCGGAUCAGGUAGGGAUACCCGCUGAACUUAAGCAUAUCAAUAGCGGAGGA